CGGCAGAUGAUGAUUUUACUUGGAUUCCCCUUCAGAACAUUUAUGGGUGUUGCAAACUCCAAGCUUCUGAUGCU
rfam:Arabidopsis thaliana chromosome 5, complete sequence.